rnacentral:rRNA from 1 species
GAUGAACGCUGGCGGCGUGCCUAAUACAUGCAAGUCGAGCGAACAGACGAGGAGCUUGCUCCUCUGAUGUUAGCGGCGGACGGGUGAGUAACACGUGGAUAACCUACCUAUAAGACUGGGAUAACUUCGGGAAACCGGAGCUAAUACCGGAUAACAUGUUGAACCGCAUGGUUCAACAGUGAAAGACGGUCUUGCUGUCACUUAUAGAUGGAUCCGCGCCGCAUUAGCUAGUUGGUAAGGUAACGGCUUACCAAGGCAACGAUGAGUAGCCGGCCUGAGAGGGUGAUCGGCCACACUGGAACUGAGACACGGUCCAGACUCCUACGGGAGGCAGCAGUAGGGAAUCUUCCGCAAAGGGCGAAAGCCUGACGGAGCAACGCCGCGUGAGUGAAGAAGGUCUUCGGGUCGUAAAACUCUGUUGUUAGGGAAGAACAAAUGUGUAAGUAACUAUGCACGUCUUGACGGUACCUAAUCAGAAAGCCACGGCUAACUACGUG